GUCCACGCCCUAAACGAUGCGAACUAGGUGUUGGGGAGGAGACUUCCUUAGUACCGUAGCUAACGCGUGAAGUUCGCCGCCUGGGGAGUACGGUCGCAAGAUUAAACUCAAGGAAUUGACGGGACCCGCACAAGCGGGUGGAUGAUGUGGAUUAAUUCGAUGCAACGCGAAAACCUUACCUACCCUUGACAUGUCAGGAACUUGCCAGAGAUGGCUUGGUGCUCGAAAGAGAGCCUGAACACAGGUGCUGCAUGGCUGUCGU
rnacentral:rRNA from 1 species